GUGCUCACUUCUGCAGCACAUACACUAAAAUCGGAAUGAUAACAGAGAGGAUUAGCAUGGCCCCUGUGCAAGGAUGACAUGCAAAUUCGUGAAGCAUUCCAUACUUUU